AGAGUUUGAUCAUGGCUCAGAUUGAACGCUGGCGGCAUGCCUUACACAUGCAAGUCGAACGGCAGCACGGACUUCGGUCUGGUGGCGAGUGGCGAACGGGUGAGUAAUACAUCGGAACGUGUCCUGGAGUGGGGGAUAGCCCGGCGAAAGCCGGAUUAAUACCGCAUACGCUCUAUGGAGGAAAGCGGGGGAUCGCAAGACCUCGCGCUCAAGGGGCGGCCGAUGGCAGAUUAGCUAGUUGGUGGGGUAAAGGCCUACCAAGGCGACGAUCUGUAGCUGGUCUGAGAGGACGACCAGCCACACUGGGACUGAGACACGGCCCAGACUCCUACGGGAGGCAGCAGUGGGGAAUUUUGGACAAUGGGCGCAAGCCUGAUCCAGCAAUGCCGCGUGUGUGAAGAAGGCCUUCGGGUUGUAAAGCACUUUUGUCCGGAAAGAAAACUUCCUGGUUAAUACCCGGGGAGGAUGACGGUACCGGAAGAAUAAGCACCGGCUAACUACGUGCCAGCAGCCGCGGUAAUACGUAGGGUGCAAGCGUUAAUCGGAAUUACUGGGCGUAAAGCGUGCGCAGGCGGUUCGUUAAGACAGAUGUGAAAUCCCCGGGCUUAACCUGGGAACUGCAUUUGUGACUGGCGGACUCGAGUAUGGCAGAGGGGGGUAGAAUUCCACGUAGCAGUGAAAUGCGUAGAGAUGUGGAGGAAUACCGAUGGCGAAGGCAGCCCCCUGGGCCAAUACUGACGCUCAUGCACGAAAGCGUGGGGAGCAAACAGGAUUAGAUACCCUAGUAGUCC
rnacentral:rRNA from 1 species